rnacentral:rRNA from 1 species
AGAGUUUGAUCCUGGCUCAGGAUGAACGCUGGCGGCGUGCCUAAUACAUGCAAGUCGAACGAAGAUCUAGCUUGCUAGAUCUUAGUGGCGAACGGGUGAGUAAUACAUAAAUAAUCUGCCCAUUGGACUGGGAUAACUAUUGGAAACGAUAGCUAAUACCGGAUAGGUGAUUUGAAGGCAUCUUCGAAUCAUUAAAGUAGGGUCACUACACCAAUGGAUGAGUUUAUGGCGCAUUAGUUAGUUGGCGGGGUAACGGCCCACCAAGACGAUGAUGCGUAGCCGACCUGAGAGGGUGACCGGCCACACUGGGACUGAGACACGGCCCAGACUCCUACGGGACGCAGCAG